ACACCUCUCCCCUUCUUACUGCUUCCCUCCGGCUAUAACUCGCCAGUCCCAGCAGCCAGCUGCUGUAGAAGAGGGGAGGAAACAAGCCAGUGCAAGGGGAGCAAAAGAGAAAAGGAGCCAGGCUGGGCUUCCUGAUCCCACAGCAUCGCAGAGCUCGGGAGGCACAGCUCACAGACACAGGAAACACAGGACUGCUAUUCUGCUCUCCUGCCCACGGUGAUCUGGUGCCAGCUGGUGAACGGUGGGUGAUGGCAUCCCUGCUGCAAGACCAGCUGACCACUGAUCAGGACUUGCUGCUGAUGCAGGAAGGCAUGCCGAUGCGGAAGGUGAGGUCCAAAAGCUGGAAGAAGCUAAGAUACUUCAGACUUCAGAAUGACGGCAUGACAGUCUGGCAUGCACGGCAGGCCAGGGGCAGUGCCAAGCCCAGCUUCUCAAUCUCUGAUGUGGACACAAUACGUAAUGGCCAUGAUUCCGAGUUGCUGCGUAGCCUGGCAGAGGAGCUCCCCCUGGAGCAGGGCUUCACCGUUGUCUUCCAUGGCCGCCGCUCCAACCUGGACCUGGUGGCCAACAGUGUUGAGGAGGCCCAGAUGUGGAUGCGAGGGCUCCAGCUGUUGGUGGAUCUUGUCACCAGCAUGGACCAUCAGGAGCGCCUGGACCAAUGGCUGAGUGACUGGUUUCAACGUGGAGACAAAAAUCAGGAUGGUAAGAUGAGUUUCCAAGAAGUUCAGCGGUUAUUGCACCUAAUGAAUGUGGAGAUGGACCAAGAAUAUGCCUUCAGUCUUUUUCAGGCAGCAGACACGUCCCAGUCUGGAACCCUGGAAGGAGAAGAAUUCGUACAGUUCUAUAAGGCAUUGACUAAACGUGCUGAGGUGCAGGAACUAUUUGAAAGUUUUUCAGCUGAUGGGCAGAAGCUGACUCUGCUGGAAUUUUUGGAUUUCCUCCGAGAGGAGCAGAAGGAGAGAGACUGCACCUCUGAGCUUGCUCUGGAACUCAUUGACCACUAUGAACCUUCAGACAGUGGAGCUUCGGAGGAGGAUCCUGGUGAAGGGGAAGAAGUUAACACUUGAGGAAGACCUGGAAUAUGAGGAAGAGGAAGCAGAGCCUGAGUUGGAGGAGUCAGAAUUGGCAUUGGAGUCCCAGUUUGAGACUGAGCCUGAGCCCCAGGAGCAGAACCUUCAGAGUAAGGACAAAAAGAAGAAAUCCAAGCCCAUCUUGUGUCCAGCCCUCUCUUCCCUGGUUAUCUACUUGAAGUCUGUCUCAUUCCGCAGCUUCACACAUUCAAAGGAGCACUACCACUUCUACGAGAUAUCAUCUUUCUCUGAAACCAAGGCCAAGCGCCUCAUCAAGGAGGCUGGUCAGGACCAAAAUGGAGGGAUGGGGAGGGAAGUGGGAUGGAUAGGUUCAGGCCUGAUGGACUGGCAGGUAAGUCCCAAGAAAAAAGACAAGGUAGCUAAGGAGAGAUGAAGGAGUUCAGAAACUCCUCAGAGCAGGCAAGGGCAGAGGAGUUAUGAAUAGUGGCUCAAGGGUCUAGGGGCAGGAAAGCUAGGGAAGAUGGUCUGGAUGGACAGAGUAGAGAGGCACAGUGAAACUUUCUGGAGCCAGCUUCAGAUGCUGGAGAGAAGGGUGAAGAGUAGGCAGGGUCCUUGGGACUAGGGAAGUGGGAGAUUCCACCCCACUUCCAUCUCCCUCUCUAUACCCUUUUACAGGCAAUGAGUUUGUGCAGCACAAUACUUGGCAGUUAAGCCGUGUGUAUCCCAGCGGCCUGAGGACAGACUCUUCCAACUACAACCCCCAGGAACUCUGGAAUGCAGGCUGCCAGAUGGUGGCCAUGAAUAUGCAGACUGCAGGGCUUGAAAUGGACAUCUGUGAUGGGCAUUUCCGCCAGAAUGGUGGCUGUGGCUAUGUGCUGAAGCCAGACUUCCUGCGUGAUAUCCAGAGUUCCUUCCACCCUGAGAGGCCCAUCAGCCCUUUCAAAGCCCAGACUCUCUUAAUCCAGGUGAUCAGCGGUCAGCAACUCCCCAAAGUGGACAAGACCAAAGAGGGGUCCAUUGUGGAUCCACUGGUGAAAGUGCAGAUCUUUGGUGUCCGUCUAGACACAGCACGGCAGGAGACCAACUAUGUGGAGAACAAUGGUUUUAAUCCAUACUGGGGGGAGACACUAUGUUUCCGGGUGCUGGUGCCUGAACUUGCCAUGCUGCGUUUUGUGGUAAUGGAUUAUGACUGGAAAUCCCGAAAUGACUUUAUUGGUCAGUACACCCUGCCUUGGACCUGCAUGCAACAAGGUGAGCCAGCCCCUUUGACCCCUGGCCAAUACCCCAGCUCUGGCUGCCUUCCUAAUGCUGUCCUCCUGCCCCUUCCAGGUUACCGCCACAUUCACCUGCUGUCCAAAGAUGGCAUCAGCCUCCGCCCAGCUUCCAUUUUUGUGUAUAUCUGCAUCCAGGAAGACCUGGAGGGGGAUGAGUCCUGAGGUGGGCAUUUCACGGGGAGGGUUGGUGUGCUGGCUUUAGAUGGUGAGAAACAUCUGGAAGGAUGCUCUAG
rnacentral:sRNA from 1 species